rnacentral:rRNA from 1 species
AUUGAACGCUGGCGGCAGGCCUAACACAUGCAAGUCGAUCGAGCGGCGGACGGGUGAGUAAUGUCUGGGGAUCUGCCCGCUAGAGGGGGAUAACUACUGGAAACGGUGGCUAAUACCGCAUCCUAUCGGAUGUACCCAUAUGGGAUUAGCUAGUAGGUGGGGUAAAGGCUCACCUAGGCCACGCUCUCUAGCUGGUCUGAGAGGAUGAACAGCCACACUGGAACUGAGACACGGCCCAGACUCCGACGGGAGGAAGCAGUGGGGAAUAUUGCACAAUGGGAGCAAGCAUGAUGCAGCCAUGCCGCGUGUAUGAAGAAGGCCUUAGGGUUGUAAAGUACUUUCAGCGAGGAGGCGUUAACAGCAGAAGAAGCACCGGCUAACUCCGUGCCAGCCGCCGCGGUAAUAC